rnacentral:rRNA from 1 species
AAGAACCUGAAACCGUGUACGUACAAGCAGUGGGAGCACCCUUUGGGUGUGACUGCGUACCUUUUGUAUAAUGGGUCAGCGACUUAUAUUCUGUAGCAAGGUUAACCGAAUAGGGGAGCCGGAGGGAAACCGAGUCUUAAUUGGGCGUUAAGUUGCAGGGUAUAGACCCGAAACCCGGUGAUCUAGCCAUGGGCAGGUUGAAGGUUGGGUAACACUAACUGGAGGACCGAACCGACUAAUGUUGAAAAAUUAGCGGAUGACCUGUGGCUGGGGGUGAAAGGCCAAUCAAACCGGGAGAUAGCUGGUUCUCCCCGAAAGCUAUUUAGGUAGCGCCUCGUGAAUUCAUCUCCGGGGGUAGAGCACUGUUUCGGCUAGGGGGCCAUCCCGGCUUACCAACCCGAUGCAAACUGCGAAUACCGGAGAAUGUUAUCACGGGAGACACACGGCGGGUGCUAACGUCCGUCGUGAAGAGGGAAACAACCCAGACCGCCAGCUAAGGUCCCAAAGUCAUGGUUAAGUGGGAAACGAUGUGGGAAGGCCCAGACAGCCAGGAUGUUGGCUUAGAAGCAGCCAUCAUUUAAAGAAAGCGUAAUAGCUCACUGGUCGAGUCGGCCUGCGCGGAAGAUGUAACGGGGCUAAACCAUGCACCGAAGCUGCGGCAGCGACACUGUGUGUUGUUGGGUAGGGGAGCGUUCUGUAAGCCUGUGAAGGUGUGUCGUGAGGC